rnacentral:pre_miRNA from 1 species
GUUACGUUGACUGUUUAAUCUCUGCAGGCAACUGUGAUGGUGUUUUAUAUUCUCACAAUCACCUGGAGAGAUUCUGCAGUUUAUCUAA